rnacentral:lncRNA from 1 species
GAAACCUAUGCUGUGUCAACUAUUUAAUCACAAUCCAAAUUUAGAGCUGAAUCCAGCUUGAAUGUUGUGUCCAUACUUGCCCCAACCGUUCAGGGUUCAACCUCUGCGGUCGUAUAAUGCUGCGCCCUGCGAAGCAACUGGUUCAGUGUUGAAUAUACUGUAUAAAUAAGAAGAAAUAUGAAUGAUUGCCAAUGGGACUUGCAUUGUAUCCACCAUAGACCAUACAUAGAUGUUAAUAAAUAUAUAUUGCUGAAUGACCUACAUGUUACAACAUCGAGCUAAACCCAUAACAAAACUAAAACAGGCCUCAACGUUACCACCUAUUACAUAGUUCAAACUAAACACUUACACCUGAUAUAUUAAAAACAGAAACCAAUAACUACCACUGAAAACAUUCUCCUUUAUUGAUUGAAAAAGAGGGACGAAAGAUACCAGAGGGACAGUCAAACUCAUAAAUAGAAAAUUAACUGACAACGCCAUUGCUAAAAAUGAAAAAGAAAAACAGACAAACAGUAGUACACAUGACACAACAUAUAUAAAUAAAGAAUAAGCAACACAAACCUCACCAAAAAAUGGGGGUGUUCUCAGGUGCUCCGGAAGGGUAAGCAGAUUCUGCUCUACAUGUGGCACCCUUCUUGUUGCUCAUGAAACAGGCACAUACGAAUUAGGCAGUCAAACAAGUCAAACAUGUUUGUAAUCACUCAACCCUCCCCUAACCUUGGACAGUCGUUUUGUAGCACAAUACGGAAAAAACCUAAAAAUAAGUAGUUGCAGC